CGGCAUAUGGAGGUUCCCAGGCUAGGGGUCUAACUGGAGCUGUGGCCGCCAGCCUACGCCAGAGCCACAGCAACGCCAGACCCGAGCCACAUCUGCAACCUAUACCACAGCUCACGGCAAUGCCAGAUCCUUAACCCACUGAGCAAGGCAAGGGAUCAAACCCGAAACCUCAUGGUUCCUAGUUGGAUUCGUUUUCACUGUGCCACGACAGGAACUCCUAUUUUGUUCUUUUUUUAUGGCUAAAGAAUAGUCUGAAGAUGUGGGUACAUAUACACAAUUUUUGCAUUUCUUGCUUCUUCACCUGUGCUCCUCUUCACCUCUUGCUUCAGAUAAAGUCCAGGGCUGUGUAGUUGCAACCGUAAUCAACUCCACUUGAAACAGUGGGCUUCCCACUGGUGCCUAAAUGAUCAAAGGUGCAAACUUGGUUACAUGGUAUCUUGCUAAUUUCAUAGUCAAUGGCUCCCCAUUGCCCACAGGAGAGAUUCCCAACAGGCAAGUUUCCAGUUUAGGGUGGUUUUUGUUCCAGCGCCCACCUGUACAAUUCCACCUUGUCUUCUGCUGCUCCUCUCUCCCCGCUUCACUCUUGGCGUGAGACUUACAGUUCUUGGAGUAGCCUUACUUUGCCCACUCUGCUCUCCUUUAUGAUUUCAGUGCCCUUCCCUCAGGUCAGCUUGGUGAAUUCAUCCUCACUGAUCACAGUACAGUCAUCAGGGAAGGUUCCUCAGCCCUUCCCACGCAGAGUUCACCACCCUUUCUUCAUGUCUCCCACGUGGAUGUUCUCUGUUGAAUAGAUGCCUGCGUAGCUCCGAUGACAUUACUGCAGAUUUUGUUUACCUGUCUGAGUUUCCACCAGGGCUCCGGUCUUCCUGACGGCAGGGACAAUGUCUCUGUCAUCUCCACAUUCCCAACAUCCCCCAAACUCGUAUGUAUGGUUUUAACAUAUACUAGUGGAAAGGAUGACUAAGUGGAGUGUGAUUAUACCUUCAGGUCAGUGUUUCCUGAACUAAGUGUUGAAGAAACACCCAGGGUCUUAGAGAGACCUCAGAUUUCUGGGCCCAACGCUGGGUGACCCCAAAGAGAAUUCCAGAAGGACGCUCUGUUUUCUACACUUCAAACCAACUCUCAAGGCAUUCUGAAGACAGAGAACCAUUGUGUUGGGUGCCAGUGAAGCAUCUGGGAUCUGUAGCCAGGAGUGAAACUCUCAGACCUAAGGUGAUUUUCUCCGGCUAACCAAUUGGUGGUUUUUCUCCUUAAAUUUUCAAGAGCAGUCAGAUACCUCAGCUGUGUGGUUUUUUUCCUUUGGUUUUUUGUUUUGUUUUGUUUUGUUUUUUGUUUUUUAACUCCACCUAUGGCAUAUGGAAGUCCCCAGGCUAGGGGUGGAAUCAGAGCUGCAGCUGUUGGCCUGCACCACAGCCACAGCCAUGCCAGAUCUGAGCCACGUCUGCAACCUACACCACAGCUCACAGUAACAUGGGAUACUUAACCCACUGAGUGAGGCCAGGGAUCAAACCUGCAACCUCAUGGAUCCUAGUGGGGUUCAUUACUGCUGAGCCAUGACGGGAACUCCACCUCAGCUGUUCUUUAGAUCCAGCUCCCUAUUGCUCAAUCUUCUGUUUCUUCUCUAUUCUGUAACAAGGAACCAGUGGACGGCAAUGCACAGCCCCUCACCCCCUCACAACAAUCCCAGGGUGCAUGGGACUUGAAGUUUGUAAGAGUGGGGGUUGAAAGAGUGUCCCUCAUUACCUUGACUGGCUGCCUCUGCUUCAGGAUUCGAGGCUUUUCUGUGGAAUGAAGGGCAGAGUUGUGUCUAGAGCUACUCAGAAGCUCUUCUCAGUCAUUUCUCUGUAUAGCCUGGUUCUAGAAUCCUGAGAUUGCCGAACAGCCAGUGCCGAGAAGGUGUCAGCCACGAUAUGAGAAUUCCCCGAUUAGAAGGCUCAUUCUUCCCAGGAACGGCUCAACUAGAUCAGCAUGGGGCCUCCCUCUGCCUGGGUGUGUAGGGCUGAUAUGUCAUCCAAGGGCAGAUCUGAAAAGGAAGUGUUAGCGUUCCGCAUUCCUCCUUCGCACCCCUCUCUACAGUGACACUAGAGAGAAAAAUAAAAACUCACCUGUUGUUCUAAAUAAAUAUCAAUCUGGGGAAGUUCCCUGGUGGUGCAGAGGUUAAGGAUCCGACGUUGCUGUAGCUGUGGCUUGGGUUGGACGUCUGGCCUGGAAACGUCCACAUGCCGAGGGUGUGGCCAAAAAAAAAAAAAAAAAA
rnacentral:lncRNA from 1 species